GUAACGCCGCGAAAGAGAAAGAGGAAGCGAUUUGCAUAUAUGAGAGUGAUCCAAGAGCAUCCUAGGAUAUUAUAAUAAUCCUUCAUUGAAGCCCAUCCAUCAGUAAAAUAAUAAACCCUUCCAUUCUUCUUUUCGACCUUCACCUUGAUAUAGUUCUUCAACCAAUCUAAACAGAAACUCACAACCCCAUUUAGUUCUUCAACUAUUUUUAACUAAAGGUAGAAACUUUUCAAAACAAAAAUUAAGAAAAAACCAAUCUAACAAACGAUAUAGUUCAAAAUGUCACAAAUGAAUAGAGAAACCAACGAUUUUAAGUUGAAAAGUUCAUAACUUUCUUCUACAAACUUAGAAUCCAUUUUGAUAGAACCAUCAAGUAAGAUAAAUUCUGACCUAAUAGAAGAGGUAUUGAAGAUUCAAUUGAGAGAAAAAAAAAAUGUUUUGCAAAGAUAAAGUUGUGGUGGAGAUUUCUAAACCUUAACAAAUUGAUAGAAAUUAGAGAAAAAUAGUGAGAGAUGGAGUACCUAAAACUGAUACAAAAUAUUCCAUCUAAACCAUGUACUCCAAUCCUUACACUCCGAAUCUCCGAUACUUACAAUUUCACCGAUUUACAAUUGAAAUAUCACCAGUUUACUUUAGAAAGCUAUCAUGAAAUUAAAAUCCUAAAAAAAAAAAAAAACAACGCAAUGCCCAAAAUAUCAAGAUUCUACAGUUACGAAAAAAUUUCAUUUGCAACAAAAUCGGAAAAGUGCAAUGUGGCGAAAUGGAUGGAGCGAACCUUAAAUCGAAGAUGAUGAUUAGAUUAACGAUCAUCACA
rnacentral:lncRNA from 1 species